GACGAACGCUGGCGGCGUGCUUAACACAUGCAAGUCGAACGAAGAGCGAUGGAAGCUUGCUUCUAUCACUCUUAGUGGCGAACGGGUGAGUAACGCGUAAUCAACCUGCCCUUCAGAGGGGGACAACAGUUGGAAACGACUGCUAAUACCGCAUACGAUCUAAUCUCGGCAUCGAGGAAAGAUGAAAGGUGGCCUCUAUUUAUAAGCUAUCACUGAAGGAGGGGAUUGCGUCUGAUUAGCUAGUUGGAGGGGUAACGGCCCACCAAGGCGAUGAUCAGUAGCCGGUCUGAGAGGAUGAACGGCCACAUUGGGACUGAGACACGGCCCAGACUCCUACGGGAGGCAGCAGUGGGGAAUCUUCCGCAAUAGACGAAAGUCUGACGGAGCAACGCCGCGUGAGUGAUGACGGCCUUCGGGUUGUAAAGCUCUGUUAAUCGGGACGAAAGGCCUUCUUGCGAACAGUUAGAAGGAUUGACGGUACCGGAAUAGAAAGCCACGGCUAACUACGUG
rnacentral:rRNA from 1 species